rnacentral:rRNA from 1 species
UACGGGGGGGGCAAGCGUUGUUCGGAAUCACUGGGCUUAAAGGGCGCGUAGGCGGACCGUCAAGUCAGGGGUGAAAGCCCGCGGCUCAACCGCGGAAGUGCCUUUGAUACUGGCGGCCUCGAGGGAGGUAGGGGCGUGCGGAACUUCCGGUGGAGCGGUGAAAUGCGUAGAUAUCGGAAGGAACACCGGUGGCGAAAGCGGCGCGCUGGACCUCUUCUGACGCUGAGGCGCGAAAGCCAGGGGAGCGAACGGG